GACAGAGGGUGCAAACGUUGUUCGGAAUUACUGGGCGUAAAGCGCGCGCAGGCGGUCUUCCAAGUCAGUGGUGAAAGCCCGGAACUCAACUCCGGAACUGCCAUUGAAACUGUUAGACUUGAGGACGAGAGAAGUGAGUGGAAUUCCCAGUGUAGAGGUGAAAUUCGUAGAUAUUGGGAAGAACACCGGUGGCGAAGGCGGCUCACUGGCUCGUAUCUGACGCUCAGGCGCGAUAGCGUGGGGAUCAAACAGG
rnacentral:rRNA from 1 species